rnacentral:lncRNA from 10 species
CUCUCGGAUGUGUGUUCAGAGAUCCUGAAAUACAUACAAUAAUUGCUGCACUUUAAACCAUAAUCACAGGAUGAGUUUUAGUGCCUGUAAAUUGAGGAUACUCUCCAAAUAGCACUGGAAUCUGGAUAACUUGCUUCACCCAGUCUGCAGCUUUCUGCCUAAAUGCAUAUAGUGAAGUGGGAGAAUUCAGCUACCCAGCCUCGAUGAAGAGUUACACAUCCUUUGUAAUUAUAAUAGGAGUGAAGAAGACAAUUAUGAGGAAAUGAAAGCUGACAAAUGAGAGGUGGAGAGUGAUAGAGAUGAAGCUGACCCAUUGCACAAACUGAAUGUGGAUCGGCCAACACUGACGUCAAUGCAUACUUUGUUGCCCACCAGCACGAAAAGCUUUCUCAUCUAGUAACUGGCAAUAGCUAAGCGGCUCCCAAGAUUGCUGUGAAGAUGAAGUAAGUAUCUAGCAGAAUACCUGAAAACAGUGAGGGCCCAAUUAAAUGUGAGUCAUCACACUGUCUUCACCAGAGAGAACUUCACCAAUCUGAAUUUUUAUCUGACUUCUAUAUAAUUAGAAGGGCUUGAAGAUUAGAUACUAAAAAGCAAAAAUAAAAACCAAAAAGACAAAACAAAAACCUAAGAUAUCACACAAUGACAUCAGAAACACUGAUUUGACCCACGUAUAUUUUAUGCCAGAAUUAUAAUAGACAUACUAUAGCCAGGCAAAACUUGGUUAUAACGUCAAAGCAAUAUUCUGUUUUUUGUUUGCAAGUUUCUUUGGUGUCUUACUUUGACAUUUUCUUUUGAGAUGUUAGUGACAGCACUUUGUAAUUCCUACAGCAUAUGAUUUACACACCUAUAACCUUUCUCUGCCUAAAAAAACUCCUAGAACACAUGUGCAUGUAUGUUUCUUGUAGCACUAUUUACAAUAGCAAAGACUUGGAACCAACCCAAAUGCCUGUCAAUGAUAGACUGGAUACAGCAAACGUGGCACAUAUACACAAUGGAAUACUACGCAGACAUAAAAAAAGAAUGAGUUCAUGUCCUUUGCAGGGACAUGGAUGAAGCUGGAAACCAUCAUCCUCAGCAAACUAAAGGAAUAGAAAACCAAACACCACAUGUUCUCACUCAUAAGUGGGAGUUGAACAAUGAGAAUACAUGGA